AGUUUGUGUGUGUGUGUGUGUCUGUGUGUGUGUGUGUUUGGGGGCUUUUUGUCUGUCACAUUCACCGGUAAGUGAAACCUUGUCCCUGAAAAUCCAAAUGACACAGUAAACUGUUCCUGUCACCCAUAAAUCCAGGCAAUUAUCCUGAAACACACACACACACACACACACACAAACACAAAUA